rnacentral:rRNA from 1 species
AGGUGCGAUCAUACUAGCACUAAUGCACUGGAUCCUAUUAGAACUCCGCAGUUAAGCGUGCUUAAGCAAGAAUAGUACUAGGAUUGUGACCUCUUGGGAAGUCCUCGUGUUGCAACUC